GACAGAGGGUGCAAACGUUGCUCGGAAUCACUGGGCGUAAAGGGCGUGUAGGCGGGCAUGUAAGUCGGGCGUGAAAUCCCUAGGCUCAACCUAGGAACUGCACUCGAAACUGCGUGUCUUGAGUGCCGGAGAGGAAAGCGGAAUUCCUGGUGUAGAGGUGAAAUUCGUAGAUAUCAGGAGGAACACCAGUGGCGAAGGCGGCUUUCUGGACGGUAACUGACGCUGAGACGCGAAAGCGUGGGGAGCAAACAGG
rnacentral:rRNA from 1 species